AAACCAACAGGGAUUGCCUCAGUAACGGCGAGUGAAGCGGCAAAAGCUCAAAUUUGAAAUCUAGUACCUUCGGUGCUCGAGUUGUAAUUUGAAGAUGGUAACUUUGGAGUUGGCCCUUGUCUAUGUUCCUUGGAACAGGACGUCACAGAGGGUGAGAAUCCCGUCUGACGAGGUGAUCCAACUCUAUGUAAAGUGCUAUCGAAGAGUCGAGUUGUUUGGGAAUGCAGCUCUAAGUGGGUGGUAAAUUCCAUCUAAAGCUAAAUAUUGGCGAGAGACCGAUAGCGAACAAGUACAGUGAUGGAAAGAUGAAAAGAACUUUGAAAAGAGAGUGAAAAAGUACGUGAAAUUGUUGAAAGGGAAGGGUAUUAGAUCAGACUUGGCGUUUUAUGAUUAUCUUCCCUUCUUGGGUUGUGCACUCGUAUUGCGCUGGGCCAGCAUCGAUUCGGAUGGCAGGAUAAUGGCAAUUGAAUGUGGCAUCCACUUCGGUGUAUGUGUUAUAGCUUUUGUUGAUGCUGCCUAUCUGGAUCGAGGACUGCGUCUUUUGACUAGGAUGUUGGCGUAAUGAUCUAAUAUCGCCCGUCU
rnacentral:rRNA from 1 species